GAAAUUUCUUUUCGUCUCUCUCUCUCUCCUCUCUGCUCUCGCUCAGAAGCCUGCCCCUCUUCUUUCAUUUUCAGUGGCCAGCCACCGUGCAUUGUGCCGGUCGAGCCCACCCAGCCCAGACCUCCGCCGGCGUGGGAACAAGGGCUCCGUCGAAGGUUUCAAAACCACAUAUCUCAGAGAGGGACCCCUUUUCGUUUCCUUUCGUCUCCACCUCUCCUGAGCGCCUUCGAAGGUGAGGAUACUUCUCUCUCCAUCUACUUCGUCUUUCUCUCUCUAACUCUCUCCUUGUCUUUCUUUCUGUCUGGAGUUUGGGCUAUUUGGGAGAAAUCACAGCAGGGUGCUGCCGCUGUCGUCGUCUCGCACAAGCCCCCCUCCCAAGCCUCCAGGUACUUCGAUUCCUUUCGCAUCAGUUUUUCCUUUAGGUGAUUUUGAUGUUUUGUACAGUUGAGGAAAAGAAAAGCCAGAUUGGUGCUAAAAGUAUGCACAUUGGAGAAAACAAGAAAAUGAGACUACUUAGAUUAGAAUCUUGGAUUCUCUUGUAUUCUAGGAAUGUCGUUUCGAUUCGUUAAAAAAUAAAAAAUAAAAAGAGGCUGCUUUGUAAUGUUGUAUCCAAUUGGAAUGAAUAUUAUGACUCAAUAUUUUACCAGAUGACUUAAUCCAAGGAUUGUUAUUU